UUUUACAGUUGUUUGUAGUAAGAGAACUCCCAUUUUCAUCAGUGGAACUGGACAACUACACUGGUCCAAUUCAGGCAAAUGGAUAGAGUUCACAGCACCAAACCAGUUUGGUGCAGCAGUCUAAGACCAUUUAUUUUUAAAAUGCCGAUUUAGCCCUUUUCUUCUUGUUUCUAAAACCCUAAUUUUUCUUCUGCCAUUUUAAAUAUUUGUCCUGUUAUGUUUACCACCUUUCUCCCUCUUAUCUAUGGGCAACAAACUCCUUGUUAUGUGACAUGAUUAAAGAACAUGGAUUUUCUUUUGGUUAAUGGAUUCCAGAAAGAAUGGAGCAACUCCUUCUGCUACUAUCAUCCUCCCUGUUCUUAGGCAAGUUGUUUAACCUCUCCGGGACUUAUAUUUCUCACUCUUAAGUGACAUUAGUAAGAGGAAUUCUAUGGAUCUCCUGCAAGGCAUGAGUGGAAGACAAAAAAACAGUUGGAAACGCUUUCUUAUUAGCUGGUUGUUGUGGCACACACGUGCAGCCUCAGCUACUCACUCAGGAGGCUGAGGUGGGAGGAUUGCUUGAGCCUGGGGAGUUGAGGCUUCAGCGAGCUGUAAUAGUGCCACUGCACUCUAGCCUGGGCAACAGAGUGAGACCCCAUCUGAAUGAAGGAAGGAAGGGAGGUGCAUGUCUCUUGAAUCAUAUGAGCUAGGCUUUUAAAUCUUCUGAGUCUCACCUUCCCCAUUUGUAAAUUGGUGAUACUCAAUGGUAUCUUCAUCCAAGGUUUAUUUUGAGGAUUAAAUGAGAAUAUAUUGAGAGACACCCUCAUUUGAAUAUAUGUAUAUGUUAGUGUUAUAUAUAUUAGAGAGAAUAUAUGUGUGCAUGUGUGUGUCCAUAUAUGUUAAAGAAAGCCUUGGCACAUAGUAACACUUAUAUUGAGCACAGAGUAAGCCCAAUGUAAUGUUGGCUGUCAUUAGCGUUGUUAUUAUUGUUCUUUUUAAGUAGUCGUGGGUGGAUUCUAGGCAAUGGUAUUUUGUAAAAAGACCCCAAAUGAUUCUACCAUGAAGCCAGGGUGGAGAAUCCCAAUAUUGUGAGGUUAAAAAAAAUAAUGUUUACAAAGUAGGAGAAUGAGAUGACUCUAUCUGUGUUUUUUUUAAAGCCAGCGUGGAGAUUGACUCUCUGCUCCUUCGCUCACUAAUCGUGUGAGCUUCUACAAGUGAAUUAACCUCUCUAAG
rnacentral:lncRNA from 10 species